rnacentral:rRNA from 1 species
GUGCCAGCAGCCGCGGUAAUACGGAGGGUGCAAGCGUUAUCCGGAUUUACUGGGUUUAAAGGGUGCGUAGGCGGGUUUUUAAGUCAGCGGUGAAAGCUUCGAGCUCAACUCGGAAAUUGCCGUUGAUACUAUUAGCCUUGAAUUAAGUUGAGGUGGGCGGAAUAUGUCAUGUAGCGGUGAAAUGCUUAGAUAUGACAUAGAACACCGAUUGCGAAGGCAGCUCGCUAAACUUAUAUUGACGCUGAGGCACGAAAGCGUGGGGAUCAAACAGGAUUAGAAACCCUUGUAGUCC